rnacentral:rRNA from 1 species
AGAAUCAACGCUGGCGGCGUGCCUAACACAUGCAAGUCGCACGAGAAAGUGGAGCAAUCCAUGAGUAAAGUGGCGCACGGGUGAGUAACACGUGAAUAAUCUACCUCCGAGUGGGGAAUAACUGAGAGAAAUCUUAGCUAAUACCGCAUAAUACCCACGGGUCAAAGCAGCAAUGCGCUUGGAGAGGAGUUCGCGGCCGAUUAGUUAGUUGGCGGGGUAAUGGCCACCAAGACGAUGAUCGGUAUCCGGCCUGAGAGGGCGCACGGACACACUGGAACUGAAACACGGUCCAGACUCCUACGGGAGGCAGCAGUGGGGAAUUUUGCGCAAUGGGGGAAACCCUGACGCAGCAACGCCGCGUGGAGGAUGAAGCCCCUGGGGUGUAAACUCCUUUCGAUCGGGAAGAUAAUGACGGUACCGAUAUAAGAAGCCCGGCUAACUUCGUGCCAGCAGCCGC